UACGUAGGGGGCAAGCGUUGUCCGGAUUUAUUGGGCGUAAAGGGCGCGUAGGCGGUGUGUCAAGUCAGGCGUGAAAGCCCCGGGCUCAACCUGGGAACCGCGCUUGAGACUGGCACGCUCGAGUUCGGGAGAGGAUGGUGGAAUUCCCAGUGUAGAGGUGAAAUUCGUAGAUAUUGGGAAGAACACCGAUGGCGAAGGCAGCCAUCUGGACCGACACUGACGCUGAGGCGCGAAAGUGUGGGGAGCGAACAGG
rnacentral:rRNA from 1 species